GCCGAAGUGGUGGAAUUGGUAGACACGCUAUCUUGAGGGGGUAGUGGGCAUUGCUCGUGCGGGUUCAAGUCCCGCCUUCGGCACCA
rnacentral:tRNA from 1 species